GAGCUUGCUCUUAUGAAGUUAGCGGCGGACGGGUGAGUAACACGUGGGUAACCUGCCCAUAAGACUGGGAUAACUCCGGGAAACCGGGGCUAAUACCGGAUAACAUUUUGAACCGCAUGGUUCGAAAUUGAAAGGCGGCUUCGGCUGUCACUUAUGGAUGGACCCGCGUCGCAUUAGCUAGUUGGUGAGGUAACGGCUCACCAAGGCAACGAUGCGUAGCCGACCUGAGAGGGUGAUCGGCCACACUGGGACUGAGACACGGCCCAGACUCCUACGGGAGGCAGCAGUAGGGAAUCUUCCGCAAUGGACGAAAGUCUGACGGAGCAACGCCGCGUGAGUGAUGAAGGCUUUCGGGUCGUAAAACUCUGUUGUUAGGGAAGAACAAGUGCUAGUUGAAUAAGCUGGCACCUUGACGGUACCUAACCAGAAAGCCACGGCUAACUACGUGCCAGCAGCCGCGGUAAUACGUAGGUGGCAAGCGUUAUCCGGAAUUAUUGGGCGUAAAGCGCGCGCAGGUGGUUUCUUAAGUCUGAUGUGAAAGCCCACGGCUCACCCGUGGAGGGUCAUUUGAAACUGGG
rnacentral:rRNA from 1 species